rnacentral:tRNA from 1 species
GGAUUGUGGCUCAGCGGUAGAGCGCUCCCCUAGCAGGGGCGGGACCCAGGUUCAAUCCUCAGCACCA